CGCUGCCGACGGCGCUGAGCUUGCCGGAAGUUGAGCGGCGGCUUCACCUUGCCUGGGUUGCUGUCCUGUCUUCUGAUGGAAGAAGUUGGCUCCCAUCCAUAAAUCCAAGCUCAGCGAAAGAGACCACCAGCCAGCCAGCCAGCAAACACCAAAAAGCAGCAAGCAGGACCCCAUCAGAGCUCAAACAUUUCUAUACCUUUGGGCUGGAAUUCAGAUCUGUCCCCAGUGGCAUGCCUCCUGUAGUAGGAGUCUGCAAACUCCAUUUUAUUAAAUGCCUAAGUCUGUAGAGCCAUACAUUCAAGCUACCACAAUCUACUCCUGACCUCCAUAGACUCAUAACUGUUUCAUAUUGCAAAUCACAUUCAGUCCAAAUUCAAAGGCCCCCAUAGUCUGCCAACUUUAAUGCUACUUCAAAGUCCCAAAUCUCAUCUGAGAUUCAAGAUUGUUUCUUAACUGUUAAGUCCUGUAAAAUCAAAACAAGUUGCAUAUUUUUAACAUUCAGUGUCACAGAGUAGACAUUUCUAUUGUUAUAAGGUAUAACAAGGAGAGACUGGACCAAUGCAAAAUCAAUAACCAUCAGGUAAACGUCCGGCAUCUGUAGUUCAAGUAUGACAUCCAUAACCAGUGAUGACAGUCUCUGGAUUUCCAAUUUCCAACCCUCCAUCUGGGCUGAGUAUCAGGGAAAACUUCCAUCCCAAGCAGCAGCACUCCAUGGUACAGUCCUGAUAUAUCCAAAACAUUUUCAGGUCUCUAUUACAAACCACAGUCCAAUUUGCAAUGACUUCAUUGAACUUCAGUAUAGGAACAUCACCUUGUUCCCCAUGCUGUAUUUCAGCAGUAGCUCCUGGAUGCACUUCCAUGUGUUUUUCAUGUUUCCAAAACCAAUGCCAGGACACAGCCAUUUUGUUAAUGUAGGGAGGAAAUAAACUGACUGUAAGGGACAGUGGGGGGUCUUUAUGCCAGUAGCCUGGUUUCAACAAGGUUCUCUGCUGUUGUUCCCCUUUGAAAGUUCCAAAGUUGACACAAUUUUCUCUACACUUAGAAUUUUCAAAUUCUCACCAGAAAAGCCCAUAUAAUUUGGCUUACCACUCUGUAAGUUGUCUUCAGUUGCAAAUACCCAGUCCAUGUCCAUUCCUUCAGAAUAAAAGUUCCAAAAGACCAAAA